rnacentral:rRNA from 1 species
UACGUAGGGGGCAAGCGUUGUCCGGAUUUAUUGGGCGUAAAGAGCGUGUAGGCGGUUUGGUAGGUCCGCUGUGAAAACUCGAGGCUCAACCUCGAGACGCCGGUGGAAACCAUCAGACUAGAGUCCGGAAGAGGAGAGUGGAAUUCCUGGUGUAGCGGUGAAAUGCGCAGAUAUCAGGAAGAACACCCGUGGCUAAGGCGGCUCUCUAGUACGGUACUGACGCUGAGACGCGAAGGCGUGGGGAGCGAACGGG